ACGGGAGGCAGCAGUGGGGAAUAUUGCACAAUGGGCGAAAGCCUGAUGCAGCGACGCCACGUGAGGGAUGACGGCCUUCGGGUUGUAAACCUCUUUCAGCAGGGAAGAAGCGAGAGUGACGGUACCUGCAGAAGAAGCGCCGGCUAACUACGUGCCAGCAGCCGCGGUAAUACGUAGGGCGCAAGCGUUGUCCGGAAUUAUUGGGCGUAAAGAGCUCGUAGGCGGUCUGUCGCGUCUGGUGUGAAAUCCCAUGGCUCAACUGUGGGCUUGCAUCGGGUACGGGCAGACUAGAGUGCUGUAGGGGAGACUGGAAUUCCUGGUGUAGCGGUGGAAUGCGCAGAUAUCAGGAGGAACACCGAUGGCGAAGGCAGGUCUCUGGGCAGUUACUGACGCUGAGGAGCGAAAGCAUGGGGAGCGAACAGGAUUAGAUACCCUGGUA
rnacentral:rRNA from 1 species